rnacentral:rRNA from 1 species
UACGAAGGGGGCUAGCGUUGCUCGGAAUCACUGGGCGUAAAGGGUGCGUAGGCGGGUUUUUAAGUCAGGGGUGAAAUCCUGGAGCCCAACUCCAGAACUGCCUUUGAUACUGAAGAUCUUGAGUCCGGGAGAGGUGAGUGGAACUGCGAGUGUAGAGGUGAAAUUCGUAGAUAUUCGCAAGAACACCAGUGGCGAAGGCGGCUCACUGGCCCGGUACUGACGCUGAGGCACGAAAGCGUGGGGAGCAAACAGG